rnacentral:lncRNA from 1 species
GUCUAUCGUCGCUUUCAGCUUACUGGUUUGGCGAUUCCUCAUCUUCCGGUGAUUUAACGUUGUCCUAAUAACGUCCCAUCUGAAUUUUUCUUUAUGUACCUCAUCGAAUUCCGUUAAAACAUGAUCUAUGUAGGGAGCCAUGUCACAUAAGUUGGGCGCCACAUGGGGAACCGUCAUAGGGCCCAUGAGUAAGAGGUCUUUAACCGGUGUAGGAGCAUCAAAGUUACCAACUAUGGUAGCUACAUCUUCAAACUUAAGGUUCUGUGAACGUGGGCCAACAUGCUGUUUAUACAAGAUCCGUUUGAACUUUUUAACAUAUCUGUUCCUUGUUUGUUGCUUGAAUCGAUUUAAUUGCAUCUUACUGUGGUCUAACAUAGGCUGU